CAUGGAGGGUGAGAAUCCCGUUCGGUUGACCUUAUGACGCUCUACGAUACGCUCUCUAAGAGUCGAGUUGUUUGGGAUUGCAGCUCAAAAUGGGAGGUAAAUUUCUCCUAAGGCUAAAUAUCGGCGAGAGACCGAUAGCGAACAAGUACCGUGAGGGAAAGAUGAAAAGAACUUUGAAAAGAGAGUAAAAUAGUACGUGAAAUUGUUGAAAGGGAAACGAUUGAAGUCAGUCGUACCGACGAGAAAUCAACUUAUCGUGUGCGAACUUGUGGGCGUGCGUGAGUUUCGGCCUCGCUGUUUGCAUGUUUGUGCGCUUUGGGUGUACUUCUUCGUAUGGUAGGCCAACGUCAGUUUCGAUUAUCAUAAAAUGACCGGCGGAAUGUAGCUUCGAUUUCGGUUGAAGUGUUAUAGCCUCUGGUAGAUGUGGUGAUUGAGACUGAGGAUUGCAACGAAUACCCUUUGGGCUAUCCGUCUGGCCUCUGAAAGUUGCUCAGGUGCCGAAAGCGUGCUUACGGUCAUCUAAGAUAACGUUCAACAGGUUAGAACGUGAUUACAUUCGUUAAGGAUGUUGACGUAAUGG
rnacentral:rRNA from 1 species